AACGCUAGCUACAGGCUUAACACAUGCAAGUCGAGGGGCAGCAUUAGGUAGCAAUACUGAGAUGGCGACCGGCGCACGGGUGCGUAACGCGUAUCCAACCUUCCCGUUACUCUUGGAUAGCCUUCCGAAAGGGAGAUUAAUACAAGAUGGUGUUGAAAUUCCGCAUGUUAUUUCAACUAAAGAUUUAUCGGUAACGGAUGGGGAUGCGUGACAUUAGAUAGAUGGCGGGGUAACGGCCCACCAUGUCCACGAUGUCUAGGGGUUCUGAGAGGAAGGUCCCCCACACUGGAACUGAGACACGGUCCAGACUCCUACGGGAGGCAGCAGUGAGGAAUAUUGGUCAAUGGCCGGAAGGCUGAACCAGCCAAGUAGCGUGAAGGAUGAAGGUUCUAUGGAUUGUAAACUUCUUUUAUACGGGAAUAAAACCUCCCACGUGUGGGAGCUUGUAUGUACCGUAUGAAUAAGCAUCGGCUAACUCCGUGCCAGCAGCCGCGGUAAUACGGAGGAUGCGAGCGUUAUCCGGAUUUAUUGGGUUUAAAGGGAGCGUAGACGGGAGAUUAAGUCAGCUGUGAAAGUUUGAGGCCCAACCUUAAAAUUGCAGUUGAUACUGGUCUCCUUGAGUGCGGUUGAGGUGUAUGGAAUUCGUGGUGUAGCGGUGAAAUGCUUAGAUAUCACGAAGAACUCCGAUUG
rnacentral:rRNA from 1 species